GUGUAUAAGGGACAGGUGAGUCAUCGAAUCUUUGAACGCACAUUGCGCCCGCUAGUAUUCUGGCGGGCAUGCCUGUUCGAGCGUCAUUUCAACCAUCAAGCCCUUAGCUUGUGUUGGGGACCUGCGGCUGCCGCAGCCCCCGAAAUGCAGUGGCGGGCUCGUUGUCACACCGAGUGCAGUAAUUAUUCUUCUCUCCGGGCGUGGCGGCGGGUUCCAGCCGUGAAACCACUAAAUUUAUCAAGGUUGACCUCGGAUCAGGUAGGAAUACCCGCUGAACUUAAGCAUAUCAAUAAGCGGAGG
rnacentral:misc_RNA from 1 species